GUGAUGCAUAUCCGACUACACUUCCUGAAGUGGAUUCUCCUAACCAGAGUGUUCAUAUUUGGAUUGGAGUAAGUGUGUUUGUGCUGUUGGUGAUUUUCAUUGUCAUCUUUGUGGUUUACCGGAAAAGACAAAGGUCAGGAUAUGCUCUACGUCCUACUGAAGUGAUUGUUUGAUUGUGGAGAAGUUACGUUAUUGCACCUGGAAGUUCUUCAGUCUUCAGUCAUUCAUUAUACUUUUAUCUUUUAAUUAACAAGGUCAUAGCAAUGUCUUGAACAUUAUUUCAGUGCAAUUUGUACUAACUGAAAC